GACGUAGGGCGCGAGCGUUGUCCGGAUUUAUUGGGCGUAAAGAGCUCGUAGGCGGCUUGUCGCGUCGACCGUGAAAACUUGGGGCUCAACCCUAAGCCUGCGGUCGAUACGGGCAGGCUAGAGUUCGGUAGGGGAGACUGGAAUUCCUGGUGUAGCGGUGAAAUGCGCAGAUAUCAGGAAGAACACCCGUGGCGAAAGCGAGCCCCUGGACGUCUACUGACGCUGAGACGCGAAAGCCAGGGGAGCGAACGGG
rnacentral:rRNA from 1 species